rnacentral:rRNA from 1 species
UACGUAGGCGGAAAAUUAAGUCAGUAGUGAAAUCCUGCAGCUUAACUGUAGAACUGUUAUUGAUACUGGUUUUCUUGAAUAUAGUUGAGGUAGGCGGAAUGUGUAAUGUAGCGGUGAAAUGCUUAGAUAUUACACAGAACACCGAUUGCGAAGGCAGCUUACUAAGCUAUGAUUGACGCUGAGGUACGAAAGCGUGGGGAGCGAACAGGAUUAGAUACCUGGUAGUCC